GACAGCCUGGGCAGUGUGAGGCCCAGCUGCGCUGUGACGUGUCACGGGUCCUGUGUGUCACAGGUUUGGGGCAGGAGUCACGUUGGUUCCGUGGUAAAGAAAGGCGUUGAACUCUCGCUGACGAGCGUGGAACCGCUGUGAUUGAACACGAGGCUCAGUACCUGGAGAAAACUUUCACCCAUCUCUUUUGGGAAUGAAGACAUGUCUUCACUGGAAAAUGCUGCGGCGGAGUCUGGAGAAGAUCAGAAAGGAAAGGACUCGGAUAUGAAAAACCCGAAUGUAUCUUUGCCUGUAUCACCUCAUGAUGACCUUGCCUCAUCAAGUCAUGAAGACCUGCAUUAUUCAUCAUGUCAUGACCACCUGCACUCGUCAAGUCAGGAAACAACACCCAGACUAGUGAAUUACAAGGCAAGCCUAGAAGAGGGGUCUCUGCUAAUUGGCUAUGUUGUUGUUCAGUUACCCAAUCAUGUCUGACUCUUUGCUGCCCCAUGGACUGCAGCACAUCAGGCCUUCC